AGAGUUUGAUCAUGGCUCAGGACGAACGCUGGCGGCGCGCCUAACACAUGCAAGUCGAGCGAGAACCAGGGCUUGCCCUGGGGAAAGCGGCGAACGGGUGCGUAACACGUGAGCAACCUGCCCCGAAGACCGGGACAACCCGAGGAAACUCGGACUAAUACCGGAUGCCCUCACCGGAUCGCAUGGUCUGGUGAGGAAAUGGAUUCCGCUUCGGGAUGGGCUCGCGGUCUAUCAGCUUGUUGGUGGGGUAACGGCCUACCAAGGCGACGACGGAUAGCUGGUCUGAGAGGACGAUCAGCCACACUGGGACUGAGACACGGCCCAGACUCCUACGGGAGGCAGCAGUGGGGAAUCUUGCGCAAUGGGGGAAACCCUGACGCAGCGACGCCGCGUGCGGGAUGAAGGCCUUCGGGUUGUAAACCGCUUUCAGCAGGGACGAAAUUGACGGUACCUGCAGAAGAAGGCCCGGCCAACUACGUGCCAGCCGCCGCGGUAAUACA
rnacentral:rRNA from 1 species